AAACAACUUAGCCUGAACACACUUACAAACCAGUCAACCUCUAACUAAACUAAACCAUUCAACAAAACUAGUAUUAGGCGAUAGAACAUACUCAACAGCGCAAUAGAGCCAGUACCGUAAGGGAACCAUGAAAGAACAAUGAAAUACACAAAGCAAUAAAAAGCAAAGACUAACCCCUGUACCUUUUGCAUCAUGGUUUAACAAGACAAACACGGACGAAAAGAAUUUUAGCCCGAGCCCCCGAAACCAAGUGAGCUACUACAGGACAGCUUUAAGUUGAGCCAACCCGUCUCUGUGGCAAAAGAGUGGGAAGAUCCUAUAGUAGAGGUGAAAAGCCAAACGAACUUGGUGAUAGCUGGUUGCCCACAAAUGAAUUUUAGUUCUACUUCGGGCAGAAAUUUACCCAAAAUAUAGGCCUACCACCAGCCUGAAGAAAUUCAACGAGGGGACAGCCUCAUUGAAACAGGAUACAACCUGAACUAGUGAGAUAGACACGCUUCCCCAACCAGUAGGCCUUUAAACAGCCACCAGUAAAUAAAGCGUCAUAGCAUAAAACAAACAAAUGUCACAAACACCAACAAGCUCCUACAACCCAAGUGGGCCACACUAUAACAAUAGCGGAACAAAUGUUAAAACUAGUAACAAGAAUAAAUUUCUCUUAUGCACAUCUGUGAAUCAGAAUAGAAAACCUACUGAAAAUUAACAGACCAAAACAGGGACACAAACAAACUAUUCAACCAACUGUCACCCCAACACAGGCGCGCCAAAAAGAAAGAUUAAAAGCCGUAGAAGGAAUUCAGCAAAACACCACCCCAACUGUUUACCAAAAACAUAGCCUUUAGCCAAACAAGUAUUAAAGGUGCCGCCUGCCCAGUGAAACAUUAAACGGCCGCGGUAUUCUAACCGUGCAAAGGUAGCGUAAUCAUUUGUCUUCUAAAUAAAGACCAGUAUGAACGGCUAAAUGAGGGUGGGCCUGUCUCCUACGCCCAAUCAGUGAAACUGAUCUCCCAGUACAAAAGCUGGGAUAACACCAUAAGACGAGAAGACCCUGUGGAGCUUUAAACACCCGCGCUAACUAGUCCAAGAGAGACCACUAGCGAAAAGUUUUAAGUUGGGGCGACUUCGGAAAAAAACAAAACUUCCGAGCACGGAACCACACUUCCAACCAAGGCCUACAGGCCAAAGAACAAAAAUUGACCCAGUACACACUGAGCAACGAACCAAGUUACCCCAGGGAUAACAGCGCUAUCUUCUUCAAGAGUCCCUAUCGACAAGAAGGUUUACGACCUCGAUGUUGGAUCAGGACACCCCAAUGGUGCAGCCGCUAUUAAUGGUUCGUUUGUUCAACGAUUAACAGUCCUACGUGAUCUGAGUUCAGACCGGAGCAAUCCAGGUCGGUUUCUAUCUAUGCCGCCACCUUCUUCAGUACGAAAGGACAAAGAAGGAAGGACCUCUGUUACCAACACGUCCUCUACUCUUAACUGAACAAAACUAAAGUUAACCGGCUACCCCGACAGCCAAAGAUACAUGGCUU
rnacentral:rRNA from 1 species